rnacentral:rRNA from 1 species
GACAGAGGGGCCAAGCGUUAGGCGGAAUCACUGGGCUUAAAGCGUGUGUAGGCGGGCGAUCAAGUACCUUGUGAAAUCCCACGGCUCAACCGUGGAACUGCUGGGUAUACUGGUUGUCUUGAGCCAGCUAGGGGCGAGCGGAACAGACGGUGGAGCGGUGAAAUGCGUAGAGAUCGGAAGGAACAUCAGUGGCGAAGGCGACCACCUGGACUGUCACAGACGCUGAGGCGCGAAAGCGUGGGGAGCAAACAGG